CAUGCUACUAGAAUUAACCCCCGCACCUGCAAAAACAACAUUUCUAAUCUCCCACAGGGGGGUCACCGUGCCUCAGGCCAGGCAAGCGUUUGAGAAGAAAACUCCGUAAUAGUACUCUCAGGUAGUGCGAGAAUUGAACCCACACCAGACGUCCCUCUGCAUUUCAAACCAGCUGCCCACCGACCUGGACAAGAAGGGACGAGCGACAAUGGUGAUACCAUUACCCAGAAGGCUGUGCGGCGGCCAACUGCCCCCCCCCCCAUGGCGCAAGCGCAGUUCUCGAGCAUGCGCAGUGGUAAGAAUAGUGAGGCAAGUGGAUAACGUGGAGACGCUUCAUCCUCUGCUUUGGCGGCGGUUCUUUAACCUCCUGGGGAACCUGGCCGAGGAUGUUCAAGGAGGCUGCACAGAGAUCUCACCUGCUCCCUGGAUAUUUCCUCAACUGUAGGAGUUUUCUCUGAAUUCUGUGCUUCUGAUAUCUUUCCAUUUGCAAGUUCCAAGAGGAGACUUUCAAAUUGAAGAAUGAAAUUAUUACAGAGGCAACCAGCUAAUCGUAUUGUUCGAUCAAAUGUUACAUUAU